rnacentral:snoRNA from 1 species
ACCUACCACAUUCCUGACCCCUCAGAUCUAAACAUGGUCUGAGUGGCUGAAAAAGGAGGAAAAGUAAAACUGGAGAGGACUGGGAGUCUUUAGGGAUCUGGAGUUCAUUUCCACCACAC